rnacentral:rRNA from 1 species
GACGAACGCUGGCGGCGUGCUUAACACAUGCAAGUCGAACGGUGAACCUCUUCGGAGGGGAUCAGUGGCGAACGGGUGAGUAACACGUGGGCAACCUGCCCCCGGCUCUGGGAUAACUCCAAGAAAUUGGGGCUAAUACCGGAUGUUCACCGCUUCCCGCAUGGGUGGUGGUGGAAAGGGUUUCCGGCUGGGGAUGGGCCCGCGGCCUAUCAGCUUGUUGAUGGGGUAGUGGCCUACCAAGGCGACGACGGGUAGCCGGCCUGAGAGGGUGACCGGCCACACUGGGACUGAGACACGGCCCAGACUCCUACGGGAGGCAGCAGUGGGGAAUAUUGCGCAAUGGGCGGAAGCCUGACGCAGCGACGCCGCGUGGGGGAUGACGGCCUUCGGGUUGUAAACCUCUUUCAGCAGGGACGAAGCGCAAGUGACGGUACCUGCAGAAGAAGCACCGGCCAACUACGUG